ACAAGCGGUGGAUGAUGUGGUUUGAUUCGAUGCAACGCGAAAACCUUACCACCUUUGACAUGUACGGAAUCCUUUAGAGAUAGAGGAGUGCUCGAAAGAGAACCGUAACACAGGUGCUGCAUGGCUGUCGUCAGCUCGUGUCGUGAGAUGUUGGGUUAAGUCCCGCAACGAGCGCAACCCUUGUCAUUAGUUGCUACAUUCAGUUGGGCACUCUAAUGAGACUGCCGGUGACAAACCGGAGGAAGGUGGGGAUGACGUCAAGUCCUCAUGGCCCUUAUAGGUGGGGCUACACACGUCAUACAAUGGAUGGUACAAAGGGUCGCCAACCCGCGAGGGGGAGCCAAUCCCAUAAAGCCAUUCGUAGUCCGGAUCGCAGUCUGCAACUCGACUGCGUGAAGUCGGAAUCGCUAGUAAUCGUGGAUCAGAAUGUCACGGUGAAUACGUUCCCGGGUCUU
rnacentral:rRNA from 1 species